GCGUUAUCAUCGAUUAAAAAGCUUUUCAUGUAAAAGUAGUAUCAUGAACCAACCAUCUCUACAUCGAGUUUUAUUGAAAUUAACUUUGAUAUUUUUAAAGUCGAAUAUCACAUUGUUUUGCAAAUCAUUACAUCGAACAAGCUUGUUCAAUGGCUGAAACAGUUUGCUUCACAUCCACUCCCAUAUUGCAGAUAUUGGCAAGCGCUCCUGUAUACUUCAA